rnacentral:rRNA from 1 species
AGAGUUUGAUCCUGGCUCAGGACGAACUCUGGCGGCGUGCCUAACACAUGCAAGUCGAACGAGAAUCUUUGGAAUGAUUCUUUCGGGAUGAAUUCCAAAGAGGAAAGUGGCGGACGGGCGAGUAACGCGUGAGUAACCUGCCCAUAAGAGGGGGAUAAUCCAUGGAAACGUGGACUAAUACCGCAUAUUGUAGUUAAGUUGCAUGACUUGAUUAUGAAAGAUUUAUCGCUUAUGGAUGGACUCGCGUCAGAUUAGAUAGUUGGUGAGGUAACGGCUCACCAAGUCAACGAUCUGUAGCCGAACUGAGAGGUUGAUCGGCCGCAUUGGGACUGAGACACGGCCCAGACUCCUACGGGAGGCAGCAGUGGGGAAUAUUGCGCAAUGGGGGCAACCCUGACGCAGCAACGCCGCGUGCAGGAAGAAGGUCUUCGGACUGUAAACUGUUGUCGCAAGGGAAGAAGACAGUGACGGUACCUUGUGAGAAAGUCACGGCUAACUACGUGCCAGCAGCCGCGGUAAUACGUAGGUGACAAGCGUUGUCCGGAUUUAUUGGGUUUAAAGGGAGCGUAGGCGGAUUGUUAAGUCAGUUGUGAAAGUUUGCGGCUCAACCGUAAAAUUGCAGUUGAUACUGGCAGUCUUGAGUGCAGUAGAGGUGGGCGGAAUUCGUGGUGUAGCGGUGAAAUGCUUAGAUAUCACGAAGAACUCCGAUUGCGAAGGCAGCUCACUGGAGUGUAACUGACGCUGAUGCUCGAAAGUGUGGGUAUCAAACAGGGUUAGAUACCCUGGUAGUCCACACAGUAACCGAUGAAUACUCGCUGU